rnacentral:rRNA from 1 species
GACGAACGCUGGCGGCGUGCUUAACACAUGCAAGUCGAGCGGUAAGGCCCUUUCGGGGGUACACGAGCGGCGAACGGGUGAGUAACACGUGGGUGACCUGCCCUUAGCUCUGGGAUAAGCCUGGGAAACUGGGUCUAAUACCGGAUAUGACUCCAUAACGCAUGUUGUGGGGUGGAAAGCCUUGUGCGGCUAGGGAUGGGCCCGCGGCCUAUCAGCUUGUUGGUGGGGUGAUGGCCACCAAGGCGACGACGGGUAGCCGGCCUGAGAGGGCGACCGGCCACACUGGGACUGAGACGCGGCCCAGACUCCUACGGGAGGCAGCAGUGGGGAAUCUUGCGCAAUGGGCGAAAGCCUGACGCAGCGACGCCGCGUGGGGA